UCUACUCAGAAAGGUCCCAGGGCCGGGAUUUGAACCGGCAACCUUCUUGCUGAGAGGUAUCAGCUCUACCAACUGAUUCAAGACUACCACCUGUACCAUUUUAAAGAACAGCCUGUACCGAGCCGGACUCCCUCCCACCGCUCUCUGACUGGCUGCCUCCUCAGUGGUCUGCUUUCUUUUGCCCCGCUACGAUUGGAGACUUGGACUGUCAAAGCAGCAACGCCGGACCGAAGGGAUUCUGCAGAGAGGGCCUGAACGUGCACAGCGAGUCCCAAGAAACAAAUGAACAGAAAUGUUCUUUAAAACCUCCUGAGCUGCUUCAGAUCGAAGCCACAGACGCAUCACUUAUAACCAAACUCAUUGUUUUUAUCUAAUACUACGAUCAAUGUGUGUCUGUAAGCAAAAGAUCUCAAUGAAUUCAGUCUGAUUUGAGUGAAACUUUACAUGCAAUCAUCAGAUGAAAGUCUACUGCUGAUUAAAUCAGAGCCAAACGCAAAAUGGUCAAAAUGAGCUAAAACUAUAGAGUUGUCC